GACGAACUUUGGCGGCGUGCUUAACACAUGCAAGUCGAACGGAAAGGCCCUGCUUUUGUGGGGUGCUCGAGUGGCGAACGGGUGAGUAACACGUGAGUAACCUGCCCUUGACUUUGGGAUAACUUCAGGAAACUGGGGCUAAUACCGGAUAGGAGCUCCUGCUGCAUGGUGGGGGUUGGAAAGUUUCGGCGGUUGGGGAUGGACUCGCGGCUUAUCAGCUUGUUGGUGGGGUAGUGGCUUACCAAGGCUUUGACGGGUAGCCGGCCUGAGAGGGUGACCGGCCACAUUGGGACUGAGAUACGGCCCAGACUCCUACGGGAGGCAGCAGUGGGGAAUAUUGCACAAUGGGCGGAAGCCUGAUGCAGCAACGCCGCGUGCGGGAUGACGGCCUUCGGGUUGUAAACCGCUUUCGCCUGUGACGAAGCGUGAGUGACGGUAAUGGGUAAAGAAGCACCGGCUAACUACGUGCCAGCAGCCGCGGUGAUACGUAGGGUGCGAGCGUUGUCCGGAUUUAUUGGGCGUAAAGGGCUCGUAGGUGGUUGAUCGCGUCGGAAGUGUAAUCUUGGGGCUUAACCCUGAGCGUGCUUUCGAUACGGGUUGACUUGAGGAAGGUAGGGGAGAAUGGAAUUCCUGGUGGAGCGGUGGAAUGCGCAGAUAUCAGGAGGAACACCAGUGGCGAAGGCGGUUCUCUGGGCCUUUCCUGACGCUGAGGAGCGAAAGCGUGGGGAGCGAACAGGCUUAGAUACCCUGGUAGUCCACGCUGUAAACGGUGGGUACUAGGUGUGGGGUCCAUUCCACGGGUUCCGUGCCGUAGCUAACGCUUUAAGUACCCCGCCUGGGGAGUACGGCCGCAAGGCUAAAACUCAAAGGAAUUGACGGGGCCCCGCACAAGCGGCGGAGCAUGCGGAUUAAUUCGAUGCAACGCGUAGAACCUUACCUGGGUUUGACAUGGAUCGGGAGUGCUCAGAGAUGGGUGUGCCUCUUUUGGGGUCGGUUCACAGGUGGUGCAUGGCUGUCGUCAGCUCGUGUCGUGAGAUGUUGGGUUAAGUCCCGCAACGAGCGCAACCCUUGUUCACUGUUGCCAGCACGUUAUGGUGGGGACUCAGUGGAGACCGCCGGGGUCAACUCGGAGGAAGGUGGGGAUGACGUCAAGUCAUCAUGCCCCUUAUGUCCAGGGCUUCACGCAUGCUACAAUGGCUGGUACAGAGAGUGGCGAGCCUGUGAGGGUGAGCGAAUCUCGGAAAGCCGGUCUCAGUUCGGAUUGGGGUCUGCAACUCGACCUCAUGAAGUCGAAGUCGCUAGUAAUCGCAGAUCAGCAACGCUGCGGUGAAUACGUUCCCGGGGCU
rnacentral:rRNA from 1 species